AUAUAUUAUCAAUGUUGAUUGAUAACUAUUUAAUCAAUAGUUCAAAAGAACAGCAUUUAUUUGAAAUUGAACUAACUGAACUAAUUUCUUUCACAAAAAAAAAAAAACCAACAAAAAAAAAAACCUAGUUGACUCCAAAUAUUUGAAUAGUAGUGUACUUUUGUAGUAUAGAAAAUUAUAGUCUUUUUUUUUAUCAAAACCUCAGGUUGCAUUGCAGGUAAACUGUUCUUGUUCUGCAAAUCACUUUAAAUAAGAACGCAUCUGCUAAAUGACAAAGAACCAAAGAACCUGUCAAGUGCUUCUUAUAUGGUUUAUACUCAAAGUAAAAGAGGAUUUAUAUUCCUCCUACCUGUUGAAAUCUGUGACCUGUCAUAUAUAACAUGGCUAAAAGUAUUAUUGUUGUUGUUUUUGUUGUUGUUGAUGAUGAUGUUGUUGAAGUUUAGUGAACUGUCCCUUCAGUAGUUUAUUUGCAGCCUUAUGGAAGCUAUAAUGUGGCCAAAGUAUCUUAAUGGAUUGUAUUUUCCUUAAGUCAUAUUGUUUAUACAGUUGUCUCCCUUAUUUAUGUAAGGGAGUAUGUUCUUGGCUACAUUAGUAUUUAUUAGUUUUAUUCCAGAACAUACGUUCAUUUGCCUUUAUGGGGUACAAAUAGUAAUAGUAAAUUAACUUUAAAUUAUUAAAUAAAUAUGUUAACAAGAUAAUGAUAGCCAAACUAUAAAGCAAAUCAAGUAUCUGAAAAGCAGUGUGUUGUAAAUGUGAAAUGUGUUGUAAGAUAUUGUUUAACAACAAGACAAUAUGCUGUUUUCAAGUAUAAAUGCAACAACUUUUUGUCAUGUCAUGUGACUGACUUUAUUAAUAUGCAGUAAGUGUAUUGGUCAAAGACUUUCAGUCUGACAUCUGCAGGAAAAAUACAGCAGAGGGCGCACCAGGACAUAAUUAUGACCACAAUUUUCUAAAACAUUUUCUGGAUGAUAUAGGACAGGGGUCUUCAAUGUGAUGAUCCCCAUGUUAAGGACCCCCUUUCUAAAAAAAUAAAUAAAUAAAGGCAGCUGUCCUAUGUAUUUCCAUGUUUUAAGAUUCAUUUAUACUGUCUGAGAAAAGGUGUCAUGCUGUAAAUACAGUACAACAUGUUGUCUGUAAAAUUAAAUAAUUAGCUCUUAUAUUGUCAGUCAGUCAGUCAGUCUUGCCCUAUUUAUUUAAAAUAAAUAAAUAUGAAUAAA
ensembl:lncRNA